GAUGAACGCUAGCGGGAGGCUUAACACAUGCAAGUCGAGGGGCAGCACGAGGUAGCAAUACACUGAUGGCGACCGGCGCACGGGUGAGUAACGCGUAUGCAACCUACCCAGUACAGGGGGAUAGCCCGGAGAAAUUCGGAUUAAUACCCCAUAAUGAUAUAGAGAGGCAUCUUUUUAUAUUUAAAGCUACGGCGGUACUGGAUGGGCAUGCGUAAGAUUAGCUAGUUGGUAGGGUAACGGCCUACCAAGGCUCCGAUCUUUAGGGGUCCUGAGAGGGUGAUCCCCCACACUGGUACUGAGACACGGACCAGACUCCUACGGGAGGCAGCAGUGAGGAAUAUUGGUCAAUGGGCGCAAGCCUGAACCAGCCAUCCCGCGUGAAGGAAGAAGGCGCUAUGCGUUGUAAACUUCUUUUCCGGAGGAAUAAAAUUUUGUACGAGUACAGGACUGAAGGUACUCCGGGAAUAAGCAUCGGCUAACUCCGUGCCAGCCGCCGCCGUAAGAC
rnacentral:rRNA from 1 species